rnacentral:rRNA from 1 species
GACGAACGCGGGCGGCGUGCCUAAUACAUGCAAGUCGAGCGCAGGAAGUCAUCCGAACCCUUCGGGGGGACGUUGACGGAAUGAGCGGCGGACGGGUGAGUAACACGUAAAGAACCUGCCCUCAGGUCUGGGAUAACCACGAGAAAUCGGGGCUAAUACCGGAUGGGUCAUCGGACCGCAUGGUCCGAGGAUGAAAGGCGCUUCGGCGUCGCCUGGGGAUGGCUUUGCGGUGCAUUAGCUAGUUGGUGGGGUAACGGCCCACCAAGGCGACGAUGCAUAGCCGACCUGAGAGGGUGAUCGGCCACACUGGGACUGAGACACGGCCCAGACUCCUACGGGAGGCAGCAGUAGGGAAUCUUCCACAAUGGACGAAAGUCUGAUGGAGCAACGCCGCGUGAACGAUGAAGGCCUUCGGGGU